AUUGAACGCUGGCGGCAGGCCUAACACAUGAAAGUCGAACGAGUGGCGGACGGGUGAGUAAUGUCUGGGAAACUGACUGAUGGAGGGGGAUAACUACUGGAAACGGUAGCUAAUACAGCAUAACAUCAGAGGUGCCCAGAUGUGAUGAGCUUGUUGGUGGGGUAACGGCUCACCAAGGAGACGAUCCCUAGCUGGUCUGAUAGGAUGACCAGCAACACUGUAACUGAGACACGGUCCAGACUCCUACGGGAGGCAGCAGUGGGUAAUAUUGCACAAUGGGCGCAAGCCUGAUGCAGCCAUGCCGCGUGUAUGAAGAAUGCCUUCGGGUUGUAAAGUACUUUCAGCGGGGAGGCGUUACCCGCAGAAGAAGCACCGGCUAACUCCGUGCCAGCAGCCGCGGUAAUAC
rnacentral:rRNA from 1 species